GAGGAUAUAGCUCAGUGGUAGAACACAUGCUUAGCAAGCACGAGGUCCUGGGUUCAAUCCCCAGUACCUGCA
rfam:Camelus ferus unplaced genomic scaffold scaffold803, whole genome shotgun sequence.